AUUGAACGCUGGCGGUAUGCUUAACACAUGCAAGUCGAACGAGUAGUUACUUCGGUAACGAGAGUGGCGGACGGGUGAGUAACGCGUAGGAAUCUGCCUGUUAGUGGGGGACAACGUGGGGAAACUCACGCUAAUACCGCAUACGCCCUACGGGGGAAAGGAGGGGAUCUUCGGACCUUUCGCUAACAGAUGAGCCUGCGUAGGAUUAGCUAGUUGGUAGGGUAAAGGCCUACCAAGGCGACGAUCCUUAGCUGGUCUGAGAGGACGAUCAGCCACACUGGGACUGAGACACGGCCCAGACUCCUACGGGAGGCAG
rnacentral:rRNA from 1 species